UGUAUCUGAUCACUCAGGGACGAUAAGCUAGGGGAGCGAAAGGGAUUAGAUACCCCUGUAGUCCUAGCCGUAAACGAUGGAUACUAAAGCGUGGCUUGUAUCGACCCGAGCCGUGCCGAAGCUAACGCGUUAAGUAUCCCGCCUGGGGAGUACGCACGCAAGUGUGAAACUCAAGGAAUUGACGGGGGCCCGCACAAGCGGUGGAGUAUGUGGUUUAAUUCGAUGCAACGCGAAGAACCUUACGCAAGACUUGACAUGUCGCGAACCCUGGUGAAAGCUGGGGGUGCCUUCGGGAGCGCGAACACAGGUGGUGCAGGCUGUCGUCAGCUCGUGUCGAUGAGAUGUUGGGUUAAGUCCCGCAACGAGCGCAACCCUCGUUCUGUAGUUGCCAGCAUUAAGUUGGGGACUCUAAGGAGACCUGCCGGUGACAAACCGGAGGAAGGUGGGGAUGACGUCAAGGUAGCAUGCCCUUACGUCUUGGGCGACACACGUACUACAAUGGUCGGGACAACAGGGCAGCGAACUCGCGAGAGCCAGCGAAUCCCAGC
rnacentral:rRNA from 1 species